rnacentral:lncRNA from 1 species
AGCAGUUAUACAUGUGAACAGUUGAGUGUUAUUGAGCCCUGUUGGUAGUUAUCUUUAAUUUUGCAGCUUCCUGUGCUUCAUUUUCUGGUUAUGUGUUUAGACAUUGCUUGUUCUGAGAAAUAGAGACCAGGGAACACCUUACAACAAGCAAGAUCUGUAGGCCAUAUAUUGAACCGCGGUGGACGAAGUGGAAGCAAGAAUGUCGGCACAGCUAAUUCCCAGCCUAAUAACCAGACCAUGACAAGUUCUGUUAGGUAAACUUUCAAAAUGAAAGGAAAUGUUUAUCGAGAGCGAUUUCCCUUGAGCAAGAGGAAUAAUCCAACCAGUUUUAUCACUAGUACACAAUUAUUUUGAGCAAUUAUAAUCCUAUCCUUUUUUUUUGUGGCUCAGUUUUUUAUUGUUUGGGGUUUUGAAAACUACGUACGGUGAAACAAUCUUGAAGCUGGACUUGAAUAUAUGUUGAAGGCAAAUUUAACAGUGGCUGUGCUGGGCCUGGGGACAAACAUAAAGACGUGCUUUUCAAGCAUUCUUUACCUCCUCCUCAUAUUUCAUAUCCCUAACUUAAUUCCUUCCAAAUAUCGAGCGGCAUUUUUUUUAUGCAUAAUAUAUAGUACGGUAGUACAGUCACGUGUUAUAAUUUUU